GUAGGUAGGUAGGUAGGUAGGUAGGUAGGUAGGUAGGUAGGUAGAUAGAUAGAUAGAUAGAUAGAUAGAUAGAUAGAUAGAUAGAUAGAUAGAUAGAUAGAUAGAUAGAUAGAAUAUUGCUUCAUGGAACAGAAUUUAUUAAAGAGUUGAGACCAGUAUAAGGCAGGAGGUUGUGUAUCUUAAGAGGGACCCUAUGUAGAAUUCUCCAUGCAAAGUUCGUUCUACUCUCUUUGGUAUCCUGGUGGUCCAGAUUUUCACCCUCAAGCACACAAACCGAAUGGAACGAUUCCUUCUGUAUCUAAGUUAGACACACUGCCUUUCUAGAGGUCAACAUCAUAUUUUCUUAUUUGCCACCGGUCAUCCAAAAACUGAACAUUUUUCUUUUUUUAGGGAUACGGAAAGGGGCCACAAUCCUCAGGGAAAAGUACACUCAUCCAAACGUGCUUUUUAUCAUGAAAAUUUGCGGAACCCUCCGGCCAAAUAAGGAAGCUUCCAACUUGAAGAGUUACGAACGGGCUGGCAGUUCUCCGCUUAGAUUCAUUUUCAAGCAAUGGCCACGCAACACAGCGGUAUCCUCAGAGGAAUGACACACUGCAGUCUGCUAUUAAUCCAUACUACAGAACCACUGGUACACUCGAUGACUUUUCUACAAAAGUAAAGGUCACGCCUGACAUGUACCACUGCACAAAGCGUCCCGUAGCGAUUCAUAUUAAAAAGAAGACCAAGUAGAAAGUCCUAAGCAUUGUCCAUGACAAGCAACAGAGUCAGCCUGAAGCACAAGACACAAGAUCACAACGGGACAGAACACUGCUGUACACAAGACAAUAGGGCUGCUACUGAUCCUCGGCUUCGGGCUUUCAACUGACGUGAAACGGAGACAUUCGGGUAGUCCUCGACUUACGACCGCCCAUUAAAAGAGACAUCCAUGCUAAGCAACCGGUCGUAAGUCCAGGACUACCUGAGUGCAUUCGGGAGCCUUAUUUUGAAGCAACUACAACUGAAAAAGAGCCCCUGGCCAAUAGAAGGGAAGAUUAUUAACUGAACUUGUAAAGAAAGGAAAAAA